UACGGAGGGUGCAAGCGUUGUUCGGAUUUAUUGGGCGUAAAGCGCGUGUAGGCGGUUUCUUAAGUCUGAUGUGAAAGCCCUGGGCUCAACCCAGGAAGUGCAUUGGAUACUGGGAGACUUGAAUACGGGAGAGGGUAGUGGAAUUCCUAGUGUAGGAGUGAAAUCCGUAGAUAUUAGGAGGAACACCGGUGGCGAAGGCGGCUACCUGGACCGAUAUUGACGCUGAGGUGCGAAAGCGUGGGGAGCAAACAGG
rnacentral:rRNA from 1 species